CGAGAAUAUAGUAACCGGGUCAGCCACGACGACAAAACCCUGCACCAAACAGCGUAGGCCUAGUUGUGAAGCCAGAGCUCGUUCUCCUGAAAUCGAUAUAUCUGUUGAGGCGAAUAGCAAGGGAUUCCAGAUUACAGAACAACGAUUCGAGAAGAAAUAUAAGGAGUGAACACCCGCACACACAAUCAUAAAAGAGCAGUAACACAAAUGACUGAGAAGGAAAUAACUCUGCCCUUGGGAUGACUGAAGAGACACAAGGUUGCUCAAUGUUGAGUCUCCAGGGUUUCAGAAGGU